GCCUGGGUAGCUCAGUUGGUAGAGCACUGGACUUUUGAUCUGAGGGUCCAGCGUUCAAGUCCCUGUUCAGGCA